rnacentral:tRNA from 1 species
UUCCAGGUAGCUUAAUGGUAAAGCACCCAACCGGCAAUUGGGGGAUCUAGGUUCAAGUCUUGAUCCGGGCU